CAUGUCAAGGCAAGGCCCCCCCGAUCUCUAUCAGUUUUCAUGUGAAUCCUCAAAUUAUCCCUUCGAUAGAAGCUUUUAUAACAAGACCGGCAUGAAAAAGGCUUCUCAGCUGUAUGAGUUUUCUUGUGCUCAUUUAAACUAUUGUACUAUUUUGUGAGAAACCUUUUCUGCAAAAUUCACAUGAAAAAGGCUUCUCACCUGUAUGAAUUUUCUUGUGGAUUUUUAAAUCACAAAUUUGUGAGAAACCUUUUCCGCAUGUUUCACAUGAAAUAUUCUCACCAGUGUGGGUUCUGUAAUGUUUUUUCAACAUCCACUGUCGUGUGUAACAUAUUCCA